GCGUCUGUAGCGUAGGUGGCUUCACACAUGCUUGCAGAGCGAGAGAUUCCGGGUUCGAGUCCUGGGCAGGGCGCG